rnacentral:rRNA from 1 species
CAGCAGCCACGGGAAUACGGAGGGUGCAAGCGUUAUCCGGAUUUAUUGGGUUUAAAGGGUCCGUAGGCGGAUCUGUAAGUCAGUGGUGAAAUCUCACAGCUUAACUGUGAAACUGCCAUUGAUACUGCAGGUCUUGAGUAAAUUUGAAGUGGCUGGAAUAAGUAGUGUAGCGGUGAAAUGCAUAGAUAUUACUUAGAACACCAAUUGCGAAGGCAGGUCACGAAGAUUUAACUGACGCUGAUGGACGAAAGCGUGGGGAGCGAACAGGAUUAGAUACCCCGGUAGUCCCUGUCUCUUAUCC